ACAUGGUUUCAGCAUAGACUAUUAGUCUAUGGUUUCAGUUUUUCGUCUGUCUCGGUGGAUUAUCGACACCGGAAAAAUCUGUAUUCUUUCUCCAUUUCUGGAGUUAGAUUUAUGCGAGCAACUGCCAUGGAACCAGAAAUUUGCGCAAGGUUUGCAAGGAGGUGCGCAAGGUUUAACAUCGUCAAGGGAGCAAAACAGGCUGCGAAGAAGGCGCUGGCCGCGAAAAAAAGAAGGAAAAGCAGCCAAUCUGUCCCACAAGCCGCAAGUGGAGAGCCGGAAACGCAGACCAGU